UACGUAGGGGGCAAGCGUUGUCCGGAUUUAUUGGGCGUAAAGCGCGCGUAGGCGGUCUUGUAGGUCCGUUGUGAAAACUCGAGGCUCAACCUCGAGACGCCGAUGGAAACCAUAUGGCUAGAGUCCGGAAGAGGAGAGUGGAAUUCCUGGUGUAGCGGUGAAAUGCGCAGAUAUCAGGAAGAACACCCGUGGCUAAGGCGGCUCUCUAGGAAGUAACUGACGCUGAGAAGCGAAAGCAUGGGGAGCAAACAGG
rnacentral:rRNA from 1 species